UCGAAUGUUCCUUUACAAUACCUAGGCCUCAACAGGAUAUCCAAGGCAAGAAGCCUUCCCUAUUGAGGAUUCUGUCCUACGUCAGAACGAAAGAAUCUGUGCUCGGCCAGGUGUGAUGCAUUAUAUCACGUCACAACUGCCAACAUCUCAGACGAGACAUCACGAGGCCGAGCAUGUACCUCCCAUCUCGCCUCAAGUGCCGCCACCGUGAUCCAGGCUGUCCUCGUUAGGUACAAACGACUCCUGCCAAUCAGCAUCGACGGUAGCAUUUUGGCUGAGUGAGGGGAAGCCGCGUAGUAGUAAGUAGGGAAACCGUUCGCAGAUAUCCAGGAUGAAAAAGUCACCUGCCCAAAAGAAAAUUGGGGCCGAGGGACAAGC